AGAGUUUGAUCCUGGCUCAGAGCGAACGCUGGCGGCAGGCCUAACACAUGCAAGUCGAGCGGCCGUAGCAAUACGGCAGCGGCAGACGGGAGAGUAACACGUGGGAACGCGCCCUUCGGUUCGGAAUAACUCAGGGAAACUUGGGCUAAUACCGGAUACGCCCUUACGGGGAAAGAUUUAUUGCCGAAGGAACGGCCCGCGUCCGAUUAGCUUGUUGGUGAGGUAACGGCUCACCAAGGCGACGAUCGGUAGCUGGUCUGAGAGGAUGACCAGCCUCACUGGGACUGAGACACGGCCCAGACUCCUACGGGAGGCAGCAGUGGGGAAUAUUGGACAAUGGGCGCAAGCCUGAUCCAGCCAUGCCGCGUGGGUGAUGAAGGCCCUAGGGUUGUAAAGCCCUUUCGGCGGGGAAGAUAAUGACGGUACCCG
rnacentral:rRNA from 1 species